rnacentral:rRNA from 1 species
AGAACGAACGCUGGCGGCAUGCCUAACACAUGCAAGUCGAACGAGACCUUCGGGUCUAGUGGCGCACGGGUGCGUAACGCGUGGGAAUCUGCCCAAAGGUUCGGAAUAACUCAGGGAAACUUGAGCUAAUACCGGAUGAUGUCGCAAGACCAAAGAUUUAUCGCCUUUGGAUGAGCCCGCGUAGGAUUAGCUUGUUGGUGAGGUAAAGGCUCACCAAGGCUACGAUCCUUAGCUGGUCUGAGAGGAUGAUCAGCCACACUGGGACUGAGACACGGCCCAGACUCCUACGGGAGGCAGCAGUGGGGAAUAUUGGACAAUGGGCGAAAGCCUGAUCCAGCAAUGCCGCGUGAGUGAUGAAGGCCCUAGGGUUGUAAAGCUCUUUUACCCGGGAAGAUAAUGACUGUACCGGGAGAAUAAGCCCUGCUAACUCCGCGCCAGCAGCCGC